GAAGGAAUGCUGGAGAGAGAGAAGUCCAGAGGAAACGUCAGUGAGGAGAGAGGAGGGAACGCGUGAGGAACCUUAAGAAGGGAUGAAGGAGGUGGGCCCAGGUGCCAAUUCUAGGGAAAAUGGGUUCUGGGUGAGAAAGUAGGGCUCUGGAUGGGAAAGGAGGGUGGGAGACACGGGGCUGGCUGGAUCCUGGGGGUGGGGGCUCCCAGUAGAUCCGAGGAGGGUUUACUUGGGCGGGCAGAAUGGGGAAGAAGGGGAUAAGAAGAUUGGAAGGAAAUGUAAGCUGAACAAGGCCUUUGGUGGCAGUAUGGAAGAGGAAGGAUCAUGGAUGGGAAAAGAAAAUGGAGAUGGGGCCGGUGCGGGGGCUGACGCCUGUAAUCUCAGCGCUUUCGGAGGCUGAGUCGGGUGGGUCACUUGUCAGGAGUUCAAGACCAGCCUGGCCAACAUGGCAAAACCCCAUCUCUACUAAAAAUACAAAAAUUAGCCGGGUGUGGUGGUGCAUGCCUGUAAUCCCAGCUACUCGGAGGCUGAGGCAGGCGAAUCCUUGAACCUGGGAGGCAAAGGUUUCAGCAAGCAGAGAUCGCGCCACUGCACUCUAGCCUGGGAAACAGAGCGAGACACCAACUCAAAAAAAAAAAAAAAAAAAAAGGCAAAAAAAAAAAACAAAAAAAAAGAAAAACAAAAAAAGAAAAAAUGGACAUGGGAAACGAGGGCAGUUAAAGGAAAUGACAGAUAUGCGGGGGGGGGGGGGGCGGGGGGGGUGUUGCUGGCAAGCCCAAGGGUAGAUAGGUAAGGGAUACAGCUUGGAGGAGCGAGACACCAUCCUCAGGCCUUCCAUCUAGUGGCAUCUCCAUUUUCCUUUUCAAAUCUGUUGAAAGUCAUCACUGAAGAUCCCCUGGGUCACAGGGAAGCAGUCGGGUGAAGACUGGGCUUAAUGUGGACCCAAAUCCCUAGAUAUCCUUGUUCCUCAAUCCCACUUGUUCUAAGGUGGAGACAGUCCCCACCGCAGAUUGCAGGCUCCUCCCAACCCUUCCCUCUCCCUCCCCUGCUCUCCAGGUAGCCUCUAGCAGUCAGUCUGCCGCCGGCUGUGAAGCCAGCACCUCCGCCAGCCCAGCACCAGUUCCUUCUCCUGGGCUCCCUCCUGGCCCUCCACCAAGCGGCAACAUCUCCCAGGACAAAGGACACAGGCUCUGCUAUCCAGUUUCACCAGCUUCCAGGUGCUCCAUCUUCUCUCCCCUCAUAUGGACUAGAGGAAGAUGGUGACCAACUGCCUCCAUCCUAAGAUAAAGGCCCUGGGCAGACUUGCAGAAGCUAAUACGGUCCCCCUCAGUUUUCUUUCUACUCACACAUCAGUCCCAGCUCCAUUCAGCAUCCACAAUUUCAACAAUCAAAGAUACUGAAAUGUUCCAGUUCUCUGCUAGAUCCAGUCACACUCAUAUCAUCCCUGGUUCCUUCCAGAGCCUUCCCCAUGACCCCAGUAGUUUUCAGAACCCAUGACUUUAAUCAGGAUCUGAGACAGACAGAACAGAUUGGUCACGGGUACCUGCACUUUUACACUACAUACAAAGCCCAGUCUUUGCAGGUGGCUCCUGCACCUUCUCCCUGGUUCUCAGGUUCUUCUUAGGACACCUCCACCUGGUGCCUGAGUCAGCACCCCAUAAGGUCCAGAGUUGCUGGGACACGUCCCUGCCUGCCCCCAGCCCUCCCCCUCACACCACUUCCUCUCACCAGGAUAGUCCCUGACGAAGUCCUGGUAGAGUGCCCCCAGCUGGUCCCCAGUGAUGUAUCGGGAAGGAUCAGCGGGAGACUUGAAGUCCAAGUCAUAUUUGCCAUCACGAUAAAACUCUGAGGCAGCAACA